rnacentral:rRNA from 1 species
AUUGAACGCUGGCGGCAGGCUUAACACAUGCAAGUCGAGCGGAGCGGCGGACGGGUGAGUAAUGCUUAGGAAUCUGCCUAUUAGUGGGGGACAACGUCCCGAAAGGGAUGCUAAUACCGCAUACUAUUAGAUGAGCCUAAGUCGGAUUAGCUAGUUGGUGGGGUAAAGGCCUACCAAGGCGACGAUCCGUAGCUGGUCUGAGAGGAUGAUCAGUCACAUGGGAAUUGAGCAACGGUCCAGAUCCCUCGGGAAGGAAGAAGUGGGGAAAAUUGAAAAAUGGGCGAAAGCCUUACCAAGCAAGGCGGGGUGGGUGAAGAAGGCUUACGGUUUGUAAAGCCUUUUAACUUGGGAGGCGUUACUCGCAGAAUAAGCACCGGCUAACUCCGUGCCAGCAGCCGCGGUAAUUC